rnacentral:rRNA from 1 species
UACGUAGGGUGCGAGCGUUUAAUCGGAAUUACUGGGCGUAAAGCGUGCGCAGGCGGUUCGUUGUGUCGGCGGUGAAAGCCCCGGGCUCAACCUGGGAAUGGCCGUUGAAACUGGCGAACUGGAGUGUGGCAGAGGGGGGUGGAAUUCCGCGUGUAGCAGUGAAAUGCGUAGAGAUGCGGAGGAACACCGAUGGCGAAGGCGGGUCUCUGGGCCGGUACUGACGCUGAGGCACGAAAGCGUGGGGAGCAAACAGG